rnacentral:rRNA from 1 species
UGCCACAGCCAUAUUACCCUGUAGCCCAAGACUGGUUACUCACUGAAGCUAAGCGGGGCUGAGCCUGGUCAGUACCUGGGAGAACACAUGGGAAAACUAGGUUGCUGUUGGAA